rnacentral:lncRNA from 1 species
AUGGAAACAGACCGACGAAGAACCCGUUCCCAGUGGGGCCAUCGCUGCGGUGACCCUCAGCCUGAAGCUCAACGUGAAGCUUUCGAGGGGAAGUUCCAUCUGUCAGGACAGGCGACAAGCAACACUGAUGGAGAAGCUGCUGUGAUGCUGCUGGUCAUCUGGUCAUCAUCUGUGCCUUUUUUACUGACCUUAUCCAUCUUAGGACCUUGGAGAGUCAACCAAAAAGUGCAAUGUUGUGAAAGGAGAACAACCAGAGGAUUUAUCCACAGCCUUCAGUCCCUCUGUUCCUCUUCUCUGUCAUUUGUUCCUUGGUCUCCUUCCGUCUCCUCUUUAGCCCACCGCUCCUCGGCACCUGUGAUGACAAGUUGACGGCCGACACACCUCCUGGCAAGCCGUGAUUUAAAGCACAUGCAUGUGCAUUUUGUAUGCAAAUGUUGUUGUGCCUUACGCUGCAGACUUCCAGGGCCAGCCGCCAUCCUACAAGUCGAGACACAUCUGCCUUCCGUACCUUGGAGCACGAGGCUUGAUCCGGUUCUACAAAUAAACCCGCUGAAGGAACAUGAGAGAGGGAGGCA